AUUGCCUAGUACGGCGAGUGAAGCGGCAACAGCUCAAAUUUGAAAUCUGGCUCUCGGGCCCGAGUUGUAAUUUGUAGAGGAUACUUUUGAUGCGGUGCCUUCCGAGUUCCCUGGAACGGGACGCCAUAGAGGGUGAGAGCCCCGUCUGGUUGGAUGCCAAAUCUCUGUAAAGUUCCUUCGACGAGUCGAGUAGUUUGGGAAUGCUGCUCUAAAUGGGAGGUAUAUGUCUUCUAAAGCUAAAUACCGGCCAGAGACCGAUAGCGCACAAGUAGAGUGAUCGAAAGAUGAAAAGCACUUUGAAAAGAGAGUUAAAAAGUACGUGAAAUUGUUGAAAGGGAAGCGUUUAUGACCAGACUUGGGCUUGGUUAAUCAUCUGGGGUUCUCCCCAGUGCACUUUUCCAGUCCAGGCCAGCAUCAGUUUUCCCCGGGGGAUAAAGACUUCGGGAAUGUGGCUCUCUUCGGGGAGUGUUAUAGCCCGUUGUGUAAUACCCUGGGGGGGACUGAGGUUCGCGCAUCUGCAAGGAUGCUGGCGUAAUGGUCAUCAACGACCCGUCUUGAAAACAGGAAAACAAAACAA
rnacentral:rRNA from 1 species